UACGAAGGUGGCAAGCGUUGUUCGGAUUUACUGGGCGUACAGGGAGCGUAGGCGGUUGGGUAAGCCCUUCGUGAAAUCUCCGGGCCUAACCCGGAAAGUGCGGAGGGGACUGCUCAGCUAGAGGAUGGGAGAGGAGCGCGGAAUUCCCGGUGUAGCGGUGAAAUGCGUAGAGAUCGGGAGGAAGGCCGGUGGCGAAGGCGGCGCUCUGGAACAUUUCUGACGCUGAGGCUCGAAAGCGUGGGGGAGCAAACAGG
rnacentral:rRNA from 1 species